rnacentral:rRNA from 1 species
GACGAACGCUGGCGGCGUGCUUAACACAUGCAAGUCGAACGGAAAGGCCCUGCUUUUGUGGGGUGCUCGAGUGGCGAACGGGUGCGUAACACGUGAGUAACCUGCACUUGACUUUGGGAUAAGUUCAGGAAACUGGGGCUAAUACCGGAUAGGAGCUCCUGCUGCAUGGUGGGGGUUGAAAAGUUGCGGCGGUUGGGGAUGGACUAGCGGCUUAUCCGCUUGUUGGUGGGGUAGUGGCUUACCAAGGCUUUGACGGGUAGCCGGCCUGAGAGGGUGACCGGCCACAUUGGGACUGAGAUACGGCCCAGACUCCUACGGGAGGCAGAAGGGGGGAAUAUUGCACAAUGGGCGGAAGCCUGAUGCAGCAACGCCGCGUGCGUGAUGACGGCCUUCGGUUUGUAUACCGCUUUCGCCUGUGACGAAGCGUGAGUGACGGUAAUGGGUAAAGAAGCACCGGCUAACUACGUG